CUAUUUAUCUGGAACAGGAGGAGCAGCUGGGGAGGGAGGGCAGGCACAGUAGCCAGCUUUCCAAGGCCACGCAGGAUGCCCGUGCCAUGGCAGCAAGCCAUCCUAUCUCCUGCCCAGCAUGCCUGCCUCGCUGUACAUCCAGCCCCGCUGUCCUUGUCCAGCGCAGAGCCCACUCAUCCCCACUUCUAGUCCCCAGCUGGGGCUGUGCUUCCCAGUGGGAUGCCCCACCAGACUGCAGGUGUGGUCCAUUGCUGACUAUGCUGUGACAUCCACCAUGUGUAGGUAUUAUGACAUAGGUGUGUGUGUUCUCCAGUUUCCAAAAGUGAAAACCAGGGGCAUAAGGGAUUUAUCCAGGACCACACAAGAAGUUAGCACUGGGGAAGGAACUCCAAUCCAAGUCUGUCAUAUUUACAGAAUCACUCAGGUGUCCCUGCCCACAUGGAGGUGGGCUGUGGGCCUGUCCGUGGCCCUGUGGGACUCACCUUUAUCCAGCUCACAGCCCACCAUUGAGACACUAGCAGACCCCAUAAAGACCCCUCCCACCAGGAAAUGAUCCCUCUCCUAAGUCUCUGCACCCACAGCUGGGCACAUGAAAACAACAGCAGCCUCUGAGCAAAGAUUUCCUGUCACAACCAGAAAUGUAAUUAUAUUGAAAUACAAGCUCAAGGGAGGACUCAAGAUGGUGCUGUGAGAACAACCCAGGAUUGAAGCUCUCGGUUAAUGCACGGAGAGGGAGUGUCUCUGCAGCUGCUCACCACACUGUCUUCCCCUCAACGGGACCCAGCCUGCUCCAGCCCCUGCUCUGCCCAGAACAUCUGUGAGCAACCUGGUUCUUGUCAGAAGUUUUUGACAAGCUCUGCAAAAUCCACUCCUCUUGUGACUCCACCAGACAUACCCCCAGGGGAAGAAGGGGCACCCCACCAGGGCAGGAGGUGGCAAGACAGCCUCUGCCCCCUAAGAGGGUGAGUCAUUCAGGGAGGGUGCCUGUCUCAGGCAUUGUGGAAGAUGAGGAGUCUCAUGUAUCUGCAAACACAAUGCCACCUGAGGGCUUGCAGAGCUGGAAGAAGCAGGGCCUCUGCCUCCUCUCUGCCUCCAUUUCCAACUUCCAAGUCUUCAAAAGCGACAGCUAGGACAUCCUCUGGCUCCCCUCCAGCCAAGCUGUGCCUCCCAUACACACACCUCCCCCUGCUCCCUCCUUCUAGAGAUAGGGCAGGAACGAAGGCCAGUGGCUCUUCAGGGUGAAUGGGGGUUGAUGCGAGGGUGCAUCUGGCUCUGGUGCUAUCUGCACGGAUGUGCAUUCCUUCCCUAGGCCCCCCACCCAC